GAUGAAGAACGUAGCGAAAUGCGAUACUUGGUGUGAAUUGCAGAAUCCCGUGAACCAUCGAGUCUUUGAACGCAAGUUGCGCCCGAAGCCAUUAGGCCGAGGGCACGCCUGCCUGGGCGUCACACGUCGUUGCCCCCCCAUCUACUCCUUCGGGAUUGUGGGGGGCGGAUGAUGGCCUCUCGUGCGCCUCGUCGCGCGGUUGGCCUAAAUGCCAAGUCCUCGGCGACGCACGCCACGACAAUCGGUGGUUGCGAAACCUCGGUUGCCUGUCGUGUGCGGUCGUCGCGCAUCGAGGGCUCGAAAAAAUUGCCGGGCUUCGGCUCGACUUUCAACGCGACCCCAGGUCAGGCGGGGUUACCCGCUGAGUUUAAGCAUAUCAAUAAGGGAGGA
rnacentral:misc_RNA from 1 species